UACGAAGGUGGCAAGCGUUGUUCGGAUUUACUGGGCGUACAGGGAGCGUAGGCGGUUCGGUAAGCCCUCUGUGAAAUCUCCAGGCUUAACCUGGAACAGUCGGAGGGGACUGCUGGGCUAGAGGACGGGAGAGGAGCGCGGAAUUCCCGGUGUAGCGGUGAAAUGCGUAGAUAUCUGGAGGAACACCGGUGGCGAAGGCGGCAUCCUGGACCGGUAUUGACGCUGAGGCGCGAAAGCCAGGGGAGCAAACGGG
rnacentral:rRNA from 1 species